GAGGGGAUAGCUCCAGUGGUAGAGCACAUACUUAGCAAGCAUGAAGUUCUGGGUUUAAUCCCCUGUACCUCCA
rnacentral:tRNA from 1 species